rnacentral:rRNA from 1 species
UACGUAGGGUGCGAGCGUUAAUCGGAAUUACUGGGCGUAAAGCGUGCGCAGGCGGUUCGCUAAGACCGAUGUGAAAUCCCUCGGCUUAACCGGGGAACUGCGUCUGAUACUGGAUGGCUUGAGUUUGGGAGAGGGAUGCGGAAUUCCAGGUGUAGCGGUGAAAUGCGUAGAUAUCUGGAGGAACACCGGUGGCGAAGGCGGCAUCCUGGACCAACACUGACGCUGAGUGAGCGAAAGCCAGGGGAGCAAACGGG